rnacentral:miRNA from 1 species
UUAAGUCUGUUAUGCAUAGUUU